rnacentral:lncRNA from 10 species
GGGUGACAGAGCAAGACUCCGUCUCAAAAAAAAAUUAUAUAUGUAGUAUAUAUGUAAAUAUAUAUGUAGUAUAUAUGUAUAUAUAUAUAGUAUAUAUGUAAAUAUAUAUAAAUUGAAGAGCUAACAAAAUGUAGUCAAAUAGUGGUUUUACUGGCCAUACUUCUAAUGAUUUGUAUGUAAAUUAAUUCUGGUAAGUUUUUAGAUUGUUCAAGAACAGUUGUUUUUCCUGUUUAUUUAUAUUAUCCACAAUGGGUUUUUGUUUAUCUGUAUUUUAUUCAGAGUUCCUUGGUUUGAACCUGGUGUCCUGUUCCAGGCAUCCAGCCAGGAUACUACAUUAUGUUUAGUCAUUGUGUGUUCUUAGGCUCCUCUUGGCUGUACUAGUUUCUUAGAAUUUCCUCGUUUUUGAUUGUCUGGACAUGAUGAUCUUGACAGUUUUGAGGAAAAGUGGUCAGGUAUUUUGUAGAAUGUCCCUCAUAUGAUAAAAAGUUUUUUAGUUCUUUGUGCAUUUCUUGCCCCCACUAACACAAAAUAGACUGUGAAAGUGCCAUUAUUAAAGAUACAUUAAAGUAUGAGAGAAAGAUAAAUUCUUAUAAGAAUCUGGGAAGGCUUUUCAUCACAAGUAAUGUUGUCCAUGAAGUAAUUAGUUGUGUUUGUGAUAGAAUAGGGGGUGUCACGUGAAAAUCAAGAGUGCAGGUCAUGUUCUAGUAACAGACUAAUAGAAUUGCAAUGUGAUGCGAGUAAGGUGCAAUUAGAAGUAACAGUGUUAAAGUUUGGCAGGGGCCUGAGAGCUUUUUUCCCUCCUGACACCAAAUAAAUGGUAUCUUUUCCAACAACACUUCUCUAACUCUCUGACAUCAACUAUGUGUCCUACAAUUCUGACACUAACUACCCAGAAUUAGGAUCAGAUUCCACAGAUUCAAGGGCUCAGUCCUACAAGAUUGCCCUCAUUUCUGAUGCCAGUUGCAAGUAUUAGGCCCCCAGAUUAGUCAGGCAUUCUCCCAAUACUUCCUCAGACUUGAUAAUUUACUAGAAUGACUCAUAGAACCCAGGAAAAUGCUACACUUACUAGUAGUUUAUUCUAAAGGAUACAAAUGAACAAGCGAUACAUAGGGGGAGGUCUAGAAGGGUCCUGAGUGCAGGCUUUAUCCCUUUGGAGUUGGGAUGUACCAUCCUUCUAGCACGUGGAUGUGUUCACCGACUUAGAAGCUCCCUAAACCCCAGAGGCAUUAUCGAUGGCCAAGC